UUUAAGGGAUAUGAGUGAAUUAGAAAGAGAGAAAUCAGAAUUUGAGAAUUGGAGAAGUUAGCAGAGGAGAAGAAAAGAAGCGUGAAAGAGAGAAGGGGAGAAAAGAGAAGAAAAAACCUAGAAUUUGAUCUUCAAGAGGUACAGGAGGUAGAGAUGUGGCUCAUGAGGAGUAGCUUCGGAGAGUCUUAGCUUAUGUUAUUAUUAUUAUUAUUAUAAAAUAAGUGUCUUGCUCUGUAAUGUAACACUGGUUAGAUAUUUUACGUUACUUUUACAUUUAUGUUGAGAGGAUUUUAUAAUCUCUUCUUAUGGAAGUUGUUGAAUAAUUUUCUAAAUGAUGGCGAUGUCGUACUGUUGACGGCCGAAGUGCUUAUGAAAUUCAGUUCUGAGUA